CGCCCCGCCCGCUGCCGCAGCUGCGGAAAGACCGCUCCCAGGCGGCGGCUUCCCGAGCGCCGCGUCCUCUGCCCGUCUCUGCCCCUGGCAGGUGUAGGAAUGAAAGGAAGAAGCAACCUUUACCAGAUUCGAGAUCUGAUCCAUUUCAGCGUAAACCCAUGAGUCCUUGAAGGGUGCAUGCUUGCUGCAAGAACGGGUCUGUAGCUGCUGUCUCAGACUGACAGGGCCCUGUGGGAUUCUCAACAUUCAGACUCACAGACUCCACGCAGAAGGAAUGUCAAUGAGGCCUCUGGCUCCAUCCCACCUUGAAGAACGGUUUCCUCUGUUGAUGGUUAGAUCCUCCCUCAGUAAUGAACCUGUCUCCGUGUGAGAACCUUUCAGAACCAGGUUUUCCCUUGUCUGUAUGGUUGAAGAUGACUCACCAAGUUCACAUUCCAGCCCUCAAGAAAGUGAAAAGAGGAGAGGUGCAGAUGUCGAAGUUGCACAUAUCACAUAUACUCACAUCCCAUUGGCCAAAGAUUAGUCAUGAUCACACUUAUCUUUGAGGAAUGCUGGGAAAUAUUAUCUUUACCAGGGAAGUCAUGUGAUCAGCUAAAAUCUUCCAUUAUUAAAGAAUAAAAUAGAUAUAGAUGUAGCACUUAACAAUUGUACCAUAAUUGAGCUUAUUAAGCAUAAAAGAGCUUAUUAAUGUCUCUUUAUUAAACUUUUCCUUAAUCUCGGUCUUUGACAAAAUCAGGCUAAUCCUUAAUUGCUACUAUGUCACCCCCCCACCUCCAAAUUAUUAAUACAGUCACUUAAAAUAUUUUGUUGAAAACCUGCUUGUUGGCCUAAUUGUAUGAGCUUAUAGUCUAGUAGAGGAGAUAGACAACAAACAAGUAAAAUAACAAAUAAGACUUAAUUACAAAUGUUGAUGUCUUAUACAAGAAAUAGGCUAUAAUGAAAAGGAAUAAUGAAAGGCAGAGCAGGGGGCCUAUUUUAGGUUUGUUGUCAGGAAAGCUGUGGGGGAUAUAAAGGCUAUGGCCAUGUAAAGGGCCAGGGGUGGCGCAGCAUACCAACCCUGUGGUAGACAGCAUUUAAGAAGACUUCAAGAGGGCCCGGCUGGUGUGGCUCGGUGUUUGAGCGUCAACCUAAGAACCAGGAGGUCACAGUUCAAUUGCUGGUCAGAACGCAUGCCCAGGUUGCAGGCUUGAUCCCCAGUGUGGGGCAUGCAGGA